AUCGCUUCUCGGCCUUUUGGCUAAGAUCAAGUGUAGUAUCUGUUCUUAUCAGUUUAAAAAUAAUAAAUUCUAGGUAGAUUGUACCAGGAAUGUGGAAAGUAAACCAAUGAAGCUUAUCUAAGACUAGAGGCCCACUGCACGAAAUUCAUGCAAAGGGCUCUGCCCUCGCAGUCACGGCGGCUUGCCUCGGCCCUCA
rnacentral:snRNA from 1 species